CCACCUCGAUGACCACCAUGUCUGUGUCCUCCACCUCCAUGACGAUGACCUCUGUGAUGACGGCGACCUCCACCACCACCGCCGCCACCCAAAACUUGGCCGAUCAGCACGACUUGUUGCUCACCUCCGUCUUCGCAAGAAUCUGAAAUAUUCAAAAAUUAGAGCAUCAAAGGACUAAAAAAUGCUCACCUCCUCCACCACCACCACCAAGCACAAUACCACCAUCAUUUCCAUAAUCAUCAUCGUCGCAGUCUUCAGAAUGAUCAAAUGUGAUACUACUGCUGACGAUGGCCACCAGGAAAAUCGAAAACAAAAGUAAAUGCUUCAUUUUUCUGCAAAAUAUCGAGCGCUGAGAGCAGUUUUAUAGCCAACCUCCGCAAUAUGGAGUUGUAAAAUAAAAAUAUUGAUAUAAGAUUCUGAGAAGUAAGAACACGACCUUCUCGACCAGAAACUUUGAUAUUUGAGCUUUUUCACAACAUCAUUCUUUACCUCCUUGUCCCUACAGGCACCCGUGACUCCCAAGGCCAUCUCGCCCACCUCUGCCUGAAACCGCCAGCUCCACCAAGGCCAUCUGUUGAACGAUCAAGUUUAAGCUUUUUGAAACAUCUCUCAUCAU
ensembl:antisense_RNA Y46G5A.46 ncRNA